CGACACUGUCAGCUCCUAACGCCGCAGGUUCCUCCUGGUCCCCGAGGCCCCCGGUCGGGCGUUGCCUGCCCCGCGCGGGCGGCCGGGCCGAGGGACGAUGGUCAGUGGACGGACGGCGCCAGGGAGCAGUGCCCACGCGCGGCAGGGCGGUACCUUCAGGCCUCCAGGUGUCAUCGAACACCCUUGUGCUUGCUGUCACCCGCUGCCUGUCUGCAGGAUCCCGGAUUCCGUAUCAGGGGACCAAAAUUAGUCGGAAAAUAGGAAGCAGGUGCUCGCUUGGAUGGAACCCUGACCCUGUGCUCACACUUGUAGGAGGAGGGCUCUGCAGGCCGCCUCCCGGAACGGGAGCUUCCCAAGCCAUUGCACUUCGGAGGGGCUGUAAUUAGAGUUGCACAUUCAUUCAGUUCCCAGGAAAGUAGAACGUGCUCCAGCCAGUGAGGAAAAGGUGUUUUUAAAAAUUAGAUUGGCCGAGUGCGGUGGCUCAUGCCUUUUACCUCAACACUUUGGGAGACCAAGGUGGGAGGAUCACCUGUGGCCAGGAGUUCAAGACCAGCCUGGGCAACAGAGUGAGCCUGUCUCU
rnacentral:lncRNA from 1 species